AUGGAGUGCUCCAAUGGCAGCAGCCCGAGCACAACAGCGAGAUCCAUCUACGACGACGAGGGGGCUACUCCGACGAUCAUCCUGGAGGUUGGGGAUGGUGAGGGGAAGGAUCGCAUGCCCUUCAUCAUUAGCAAGGACCUUCCCGAGUUGACGCCUAUCAUGUGUUUGACAAAAUGCUCAAGCCUCGACGUCGAGCCUGAUUUCACCAUGGCUGCGGUGGUUACAUGUUCCAACACUGCCGUGGACUCCAAAGAGUUGGUAGCCACCGAUGGCGCAACCGGCACCACCAUCAUUGACCCCCGUGUUUGUUCCAAGGAGACGCACACCAAGUGUUUGUUGUUCGGCCCCGAUGUCAACGGUGUCACUGAUAGAGGUGUGAUUGCGUUCCAAAGUAGGAUGGGUGUGUUCAAGGUCGUUCCGAUAUCAAGUCAGUCCAUGGAGUUGAUGGUUGACGAGAAAGCAACUUGCACUGACACCACUCACCUUCCCAAGGUGAUGCACCCAAGCCAUUUGAUGUUGGGCCCCAACAUCAACACCGGUACUGUCCAGGCUGGGGUUGCGUACUCACUAUUGCUUGGCGCGCCAGAAGGAAUAGCAUCCUCGGGAAAGGCCACACUAGUCAUGGCACAAAAGCUAAACUCCAAUUUCUGCCUAAAAUGGGUGGCGCUCAACAGGUGUUCGACCAAAUGCUCCAAGGGCUACAAGAAGCUGUUGAUGAGUCAUCCCAAGAGAAACCCAUGGCCACCUCCUUGCUCAGGUGGAGUGGUUAGAAGAUGGAAGGAGUGGUAUGUGCCCUGGGCUGCGGGCAAUUAUUUGGGGAUAAUAUUUUAUUUCAUGCCACCAUGGCCACCACCAACUCAAAUUGGAACCAUAAUACUUUGGCUGCUGGUAAACACAUGGUUGAUGGAAGUAGAGCUGAAACCGUGGCCUGACCCACAACCAAGUCAAUAUAACGGAGGCGUGAUGUGGGCGGGGAUACAUUUUGGGGUCAGAAGGAUUUCUGGGAUUAUUGCUAGAGGUGCUGGUGAGAAUCAGAACAGGAAGGUCAAGACAUGUGGUUAUGAUUCCAUUUUUGAUUUCUGUGAGAACAAUCCUAGUGAUGGUAGUGCUGCAGCAAGGUUUUCCAUUGAUAUCGGGACAGAUUCAGAGAUGAUAUAUGCAUCAAUUGCAAACAGGGAUUAUUGGUCUGUUAAAUUAUUGGAGGUCAUAAAAGAGGGGUGCUCAAUACGCCACUUGUUACUAGGUGAUAUCAAGAAAGAACAAUUGCUGCAAUGUGAGACAUUCAGUACAAGACAGACAAAUACAGAGCAAGUUAUCAAGCUACAGGUGAGCAAUUCCAAGGAAAUACAAGAGCUACAGGUACCAUGGGAUCCAGGAGGUUUUCUUCAUCGGCUUGGGGACAAGCCAAAUUUCAAGAAGAGGGGAUUGUCAGGGACUCGGGCGGGCUGCACAUGGGCCGCUGGCUACACCACGGGUUGGUCAGCCCAUCGCCAAGAAGCCCAAGCAAGCCCAAGCUGAAAAAUAUAUG
rnacentral:lncRNA from 1 species